AUGACGGAUACAUCUUCACCAUCACGGGAGGUGGGAAAACACACACAAGCACAUGGUCAGGUUAUCUCUUUACCGUCAUUUGAGGGUAGAUUUAAUUCUGCUAUUUAUCUAGCUUGGGAGCUUGAAGUGGAACAAGUUUUUAGUCACCAUUAUUUUUCUGAACUUGAGAGAGUACGAGCUGCCACUGGAGCAUUUACUGGUUUUGCUUCUAUUUGGUGGAGUGUACAUUGUAAGAAAAACAUUCAUAACCAACCCACAACUUGGAAAGAUUUGAAAGCUGUAACGAGACAACAAUUUUUCCUCCUUACUAUCGUCCUGAAUUGCUUUGCAAAUUGGAACAAUUAA
rnacentral:rRNA from 1 species